rnacentral:rRNA from 1 species
AUUGAACGCUGGCGGCAGGCCUAACACAUGCAAGUCGAGCGGAUGAAGGGAGCUUGCUCCUGGAUUCAGCGGCGGACGGGUGAGUAAUGCCUAGGAAUCUGCCUGGUAGUGGGGGAUAACGUCCGGAAACGGGCGCUAAUACCGCAUACGUCCUGAGGGAGAAAGUGGGGGAUCUUCGGACCUCACGCUAUCAGAUGAGCCUAGGUCGGAUUAGCUAGUUGGUGGGGUAAAGGCCUACCAAGGCGACGAUCCGUAACUGGUCUGAGAGGAUGAUCAGUCAACUGGGACAUGAGAACCGGCCCAAACUCCUACGGGGGGCAGCAGGGGGGAAUUUGGGAAAAUGGGCGAAAGCCUGAUCCAGCCAUGCCGGGUGUGUGAAGAAGGUUUUCGGUUUGUAAAGCCCUUUAAGUUGGGAGGAAGGGCAGUAAGUUAAAACCUUGUUGUUUUGACGUUACCAACAAAAAAAGCACCGGCUAACUUCGU